UACAGAGGGUGCGAGCGUUAAUCGGAAUUACUGGGCGUAAAGCGUGCGUAGACGGUCAAGUAAGUCGGGUGUGAAAGCCCCGGGCUCAACCUGGGAAUUGCAUUCGAGACUGCGUGGCUAGGGUGCGGAAGAGGGAAGCGGAAUUUCCGGUGUAGCGGUGAAAUGCGUAGAUAUCGGAAGGAACACCAGUGGCGAAAGCGGCUUCCUGGUCCGACACCGACGUUCAGGCACGAAAGCGUGGGGAGCAAACAGG
rnacentral:rRNA from 1 species